GACCGCCUUAGCAAAAACUGUAGGAAGUCAAAUUUCAUAGUUAAUAAGUAUGAAAUAUUUAAUAUGAAGGUUAAAAACUUAAAAUAGAAAAUAAGAACCACUUGUUCACAUGUAGAAUAUGGGGCUAACUUGAAAAUGUCACCAAAGAUCAAGUUGAUACAAUGUGCUCACAAGGAGUCCAAUAAAUACUUGGAAAAACUCCUUUCAACAUGUCACCCGCCUUUUUAUUCU
rnacentral:lncRNA from 1 species